UAGGGAAUAUUGCGCAAUGGACGAAAGUCUGACGCAGCGACGCCGCGUGAGUGAUGAAGGCCUUAGGGUCGUAAAGCUCUGUUGAAUGGGAAGAAAAAAUGACGGUACCAUUCGAGGAAGGACCGGCUAACUUCGUGCCAGCAGCCGCGGUAAUACGAGGGGUCCUAGCGUUGUUCGGAAUCAUUGAGCGUAAAGGGUGUGUAGGUGGCUAAGUAAGUCAGGUGUGAAAGCCCCGGGCUCAACCCGGGAAGUGCAUCUGAUACUGCGUAGCUUGAGUACCGAAGAGGAUAGUGGAAUUCCAGGUGUAGUGGUGAAAUACGUAGAUAUCUGGAGGAACACCGGUGGCGAAGGCGGCUAUCUGGUCGAGUACUGACACUGAGACACGAAAGCAUGGGGAUCAAACAGGAUUAGAUACCCCCGUAGUCCCUGAGCGGGCUGGCAAGGCGCAU
rnacentral:rRNA from 1 species